AUGGCCAAUGCUGUUGUUCCGUUGAAUUUUAAUGCGUUCCUUGAGAAAGCUAAGUUGAAAGAUGAUGGUAGCAAUUACACGGACUGGGUCCGUAACUUGAGGAUUAUCCUCAUUGCUGCACAGAAGAAUUACGUCCUAGAAGCACCGCUAGGUGCCAGGCCUCCUGCAAGAGCGACGCCAGAAGUUAUGAACGUCUGGCAGAGCAAAGCUGAUGACUACUCAAUAGUUCAGUGUGCCAUGCUUUACGGCUUAGAACCGGGUCUUCAACGACGUUUUGAACGUCAUGGAGCAUAUGAGAUGUUCCAGGAGUUGAAGUUAAUAUUUCAAGCAAAUGCCCGGAUUGAGAGAUAUGAAGUCUCCAAUGUGUUCUAUAGCUGCAAGAUGGAAGAGAAUAGUUCUGUCAGUGAGCAUAUACUCAGAAUGUCUGGGUAUAAUAAUCACUUGAUUCAACUGGGAGUUCAACUUCCGGAUGAUUGCGUCAUUGACAGAAUUCUUCAAUCACUGCCACCAAGCUACAAGAGCUUCAUGAUGAACUAUAACAUGCAAGGGAUGGAUAAGACAAUUCCCGAGCUCUUCGCAAUGCUAAAGGCAGCAGAGGUAGAAAUCAAAAAGGAGCAUCAAGUGUUGAUGGUCAGUAAAACCACUAGUUUCAGGAAAAAGGGCAAAGGGAAGAAGAAAGGGAACUUCAAAAAGAACAGCAAGCAAGUUGCUGUUCAGGAGAAGAAAUCCAAGUCUGGACCUAAGCCUGAAACUGAGUGCUUCUACUGUAAGCAGACUGGUCACUGGAAGCGGAACUGCCCCAAGUAUUUGGCGAAUAAGAAGGAUGGCAAGGUUAACAAAGGGCUACGGAUUAAGCGAAGAUUGGCUAAGGACGAGGUGACGAUGCGCGUGGGAAAUGGUUCCAAAGUCGAUGUGAUCGCCUUCGGCACGCUACCUCUACAUCUACCUUCGGGAUUAGUUUUAGACCUAAAUAAUUGUUAUUUGGUGCCAGCAUUGAGCAUGAACAUUAUAUCUGGAUCUUUUUUAAUAUGA
rnacentral:rRNA from 1 species